GCCAAUACCGGAUAACAACAGAUGAUGCCUAUCAACUGUUUAAAAGAAUGGUUCUGCUAUCACUCUUGGAUGGACCUGCGGUGCAUUAGCUAGUUGGUAGGGUAACGGCCUACCAAGGCGAUGAUGCAUAGCCGAGUUGAGAGACUGAUCGGCCACAUUGGGACUGAGACACGGCCCAAACUCCUACGGGAGGCAGCAGCG
rnacentral:rRNA from 1 species